rnacentral:rRNA from 1 species
UUUCCCUCAGGAUAGCUGGCACUCGAGUUUAACGAGUCUCAUCUGGUAAAGCGAAUGAUUAGAGGCCUUGGGGCCGAAACGACCUCAACCUAUUCUCAAACUUUAAAUGGGUGAGAUCUCUGGCUUGCUUGAACUAUGAAGCCAUGAGAUCGGAUCAGAGUGCCAAGUGGGCCAAUUUUGGUAAGCAGAACUGGCGCUGUGGGA